rnacentral:rRNA from 1 species
GAUCUGGCUCAGGAUGAACGCUAGCGGCAGGCUUAACACAUGCAAGUCGAGGGGCAGCGGGGUGUAGCAAUACACUGCCGGCGACCGGCGCACGGGUGCGUAACGCGUAUGCAACCUACCCAUAACAGGGGCAUAACACUGAGAAAUUGGUACUAAUUCCCCAUAACAUUCGAAGAGGCAUCUCUUUGGGUUGAAAACUCCGGUGGUUAUGGAUGGGCAUGCGUUGUAUUAGCUAGUUGG